rnacentral:rRNA from 1 species
AACGAACGCUGGCGGCAUGCCUAACACAUGCAAGUCGAACGAAGGCUUCGGCCUUAGUGGCGCACGGGUGCGUAACGCGUGGGAACCUGCCCCUCGGUUCGGAAUAACAGUUAGAAAUGACUGCUAAUACCGGAUGAUGACUCCGGUCCAAAGAUUUAUCGCCGAGGGAUGGGCCCGCGUAGGAUUAGCUAGUUGGUGGGGUAAAGGCCUACCAAGGCGACGAUCCUUAGCUGGUCUGAGAGGAUGAUCAGCCACACUGGGACUGAGACACGGCCCAGACUCCUACGGGAGGCAGUAGUGGGGAAUAUUGGACAAUGGGCGAGAGCCUGAUCCAGCAAUGCCGCGUGAGUGAUGAAGGCCUUAGGGUUGUAAAGCUCUUUUACCAGGGAUGAUAAUGACAGUACCUGGAGAAUAAGCUCCGGCUAACUCCGUG